rfam:Microvirga lotononidis strain WSM3557 genomic scaffold Micloscaffold_13, whole genome shotgun sequence.
UCAGCUGGCCGGGCGGCCGCUUCGAGCUUAUGCUCGGGGAGGAAAGUCCGGGCUCCAUGGAAGCAAGGUGCCGGAUAACGUCCGGCGGGGGCAACCCUAGGGAAAGUGCCACAGAGAGCAGACCGCCCCACAAAGGUCCUCGGACCUCGGGGUAAGGGUGAAAGGGUGCGGUAAGAGCGCACCGCGGACGCAGCAAUGCGGACGGCAUGGUAAACCCCACCAGGAGCAAAACCGAAUAGGGACGACAGGCGUUCGCGCCAGGCCUGCUUCCAGGCUCGUCGUCCGGGUUGGUUGCUUGAGGCGUUCAGCAAUGAUCGUCCCAGAGGAAUGGCCGCCACGUCCAAGGUCUUAGACUUUGGGCCCUACAGAACCCGGCUUACAGGCCGGCUGACCCC